rfam:Rattus norvegicus chromosome 7, whole genome shotgun sequence.
GGGGAUUUAGCUCAGUGGUAGAGCGCUUGCCUAGCAAGCACAAGGCCCUGGGUUCGGUUCCCAGCUCCA